rfam:Marchantia polymorpha subsp. polymorpha scaffold3789, whole genome shotgun sequence.
CAGCCGUGUGUUCAGCGCAAAGCGAACUAUUCUUUCGCCUUUUACUAAAGAAUACCGUGUGCGGGAUACAGAAGCGGCUUGUUCAAAUCUUUGGAACGCUCCUUUAUUGGAGCAC